AAAAUGUGGUUGUUAAUUUGUGUUAAAAAAAAAGUAUAAACCACAUGGUCUAUUAAAUUAACGGUUGUUAAUUUAGAAAUAAUUUGAAUGGGAUGUUGUGACGAUGUUGUUAGAAACUCUUUCUGCAAGAAUACAAAUGUUCCAGACAAAAAUUGAGGAUUUUGAAAGACUUCCUGGCGGAAAUCUUGAUAUUCAGACGUUUCCAGAUGUUCUCCAUUGGGUUUUAACAUGUGGCAAUUACACCCCAAGGAUUACUGUCUGCAUCAACAGUGUGGUAGUCAUCGGGUUACAAAUACCCCAGCAAAUCACUUUGUUGGUCUAGAAUUUGAGUACCACUAGAGCAGAGAAAAGCAAGCCUCACAUAGGACGAGAUCUCAUAAACAAAUAUAAUUAAAACCAUCCAGAGAAUAUCUAGAUUUCACUUGAGACAGUAAACGAGAAUUACAGUCACUCCAUUUUCCUUUCAAAAAAAACCUAAAAGCUAUAACUACCAGUGUGCUUGUACAGGUGCACUGUUAUACGAUAUUCCACUGCGUCUCUAGUGCGUUGCAAAUACGUGCGAUGGCCCACAUCGCACUGAGAGGGUAAGCUGACACUGCGACAAGAUCAUCUAUAUAAUCCACUUCAAUCUUCCCAUGAGACAUUGCCCCCACCUACAUUCACAGACAAUUAAAAUGUCAAAGGCAGCACCUACAUUUGUACCCCAGAAAAGAAACACAGAAAGUGUACAGAAAUGCAUCUGAUCAAUGCAUAACAAACAGGAAAUUACAAAACUCGAUCCCAAAUCUGGUGGUGAUAGGAGCGGAAACCCAAACUCACC
rnacentral:lncRNA from 1 species